UCUCUUGGCCCAUUCUCCUGGGUUCCGGGGCCCUUCUCGGGGUCCUUCUCGGGGUCCAGGGCACCAAGAGGAGGGGCUGUGAGCUCCGCCCCUGGGGAAGGUGUAUGGGGGAAGACCUGUCUGCCUUCACCUAGGCCAUGUCUUGAUGCUGCCCAAGAAGCCACAUCUUGUGCACAUCUGGUGCAGGGGAUCCUUGCACCAGGCUGGGCAUGAGCCAAGGUUCUCUUCCACGAGCGGAUCCUUUUCCAAGUGGGAACGCCUGGAGAGCCAGGGACUUGAAUCUUUUGGGGGUCUGGCCAAGUUGCCCGGAUUGAGCUGGAACUUGCUGCAGGUGUGCGCUGCCAUGUCUGGUCACUCUAACUUCUUCUGGAAACUUCUGUAGUGGAUCCUGUGUGCACCACCCAGACUACCACCUCAGGACGGGACUCUCGUUCCUCUGCUCAGAGAACGGAAAUUGACACUCACGGAUGAAUCUCACUGGGAAAAUGUCCUGGCUGAAAGGAGCUUCCUGGGGCCUUCCCACUGGAGAAGGGGAGGAGGGUAACAGAGGCCUCCACACCUUUCUCAAUACAGAGCAAAUUUGAAGGGUCAUCUCCUCUCCAGGGCUCUGUGUGGGGUUGGGUGAGACAUACAUUGAUUG